rnacentral:rRNA from 1 species
UACGUAGGGUGCAAGCGUUGUCCGGAAUUAUUGGGCGUAAAGAGCGUGUAGGCGGCCCGAUUAGUCCGCUGUGAAAGUCCAGGGCUCAACCCUGGAAUGCCGGUGGAAACUGUCGGGCUAGAGUCCGGAAGAGGCGAGUGGAAUUCCCGGUGUAGCGGUGAAAUGCGCAGAUAUCAGGAGGAACACCAAUGGCGAAGGCAGCACUCUGGGACGUGACUGACGCUGAGGAGCGAAAGCGUGGGGAGCAAACAGG